GGCCCUGUAGCUCAGUGGAUAGAGCAGUCCCGUCCUAAGGGAAAGGUCGUGAGUUCGACUCUCGCCAGGGCCG
rnacentral:tRNA from 1 species